rnacentral:rRNA from 1 species
UACAGAGGGUGCGAGCGUUGUUCGGAAUUAUUGGGCGUAAAGGGCGCGUAGGCGGUGCGGUAAGUCACCUGUGAAAUCUCCUGGCUCAACUGGGAGCUUGCAGGCGAAACUGCCGUGCUGGAGUGUGGGAGAGGUGCGUGGAAUUCCUGGUGUAGCGGUGAAAUGCGCAGAUAUCAGGAGGAACACCGGUGGCGAAGGCGGGCCUCUGGGCAGUAACUGACGCUGAGGAGCGAAAGCGUGGGGAGCGAACAGG